CCUACGGGUGGCAGCAGUGAGGAAUAUUGGUCAAUGGGCGGAAGCCUGAACCAGCCAAGUAGCGUGCGGGAUGAAGGCCCUACGGGUCGUAAACCGCUUUUGCACGGGGAUAACACCCUCCACUUGUGGAGGUCUGCAGGUACCGUGCGAAUAAGGGCCGGCUAAUUCCGUGCCAGCACCCGCGGUAAUACGGAAGGCCCGAGCGUUAUCCGGAUUCAUUGGGUUAAAGGGGGGCGUAGGCGGGCGUUCAAGUCAGCUGGAAAAUCGCGCGGCUCAACCUCGCACCGCAGUUGAAACUGGACGCCUUGAGUUCACAACAGGCAGGCGGAAUUCGUGGUGUAGCGGUGAAAUGCAUAGAUAUCACGAGGAACCCCGAUUGCGAAGGCAGCCUGCCGGGGUGCGACUGACGCUGAGGCUCGAAGGUGCGGGUAUCAAACAGGAUUAGAUACCCGUGUAGUC
rnacentral:rRNA from 1 species